GGAUUCAGCGGCGGACGGGUGAGUAAUGCCUAGGAAUCUGCCUGGUAGUGGGGGAUAACGUCCGGAAACGGGCGCUAAUACCGCAUACGUCCUGAGGGAGAAAGUGGGGGAUCUUCGGACCUCACGCUAUCAGAUGAGCCUAGGUCGGAUUAGCUAGUUGGUGGGGUAAAGGCCUACCAAGGCGACGAUCCGUAACUGGUCUGAGAGGAUGAUCAGUCACACUGGAACUGAGACACGGUCCAGACUCCUACGGGAGGCAGCAGUGGGGAAUAUUGGACAAUGGGCGAAAGCCUGAUCCAGCCAUGCCGCGUGUGUGAAGAAGGUCUUCGGAUUGUAAAGCACUUUAAGUUGGGAGGAAGGGCAGUAAGUUAAUACCUUGCUGUUUUGACGUUACCAACAGAAUAAGCACCGGCUAACUUCGUGCCAGCAGCCGCGGUAAUACGAAGGGUGCAAGCGUUAAUCGGAAUUACUGGGCGUAAAGCGCGCGUAGGUGGUUCAGCAAGUUGGAUGUGAAAUCCCCGGGCUCAACCUGGGAACUGCAUCCAAAACUACUGAGCUAGAGUACGGUAGAGGGUGGUGGAAUUUCCUGUGUAGCGGUGAAAUGCGUAGAUAUAGGAUGGAACACCAGUGACGAAUGCGACCACCUGGACUGAUACUGACACUGAUGUGCGAAAGCGUGGGGAGCAAACAGAUUAGAUACCCUGGUAGUCCACGCCGUAACGAUGUCGACUAGCCGUUGGAUCCUUGGAAUCUUAUGCGCAG
rnacentral:rRNA from 1 species